AUAGCGUAUAUUAAAGUUGCUGCAGUUAAAAAGCCCGUAGUCGAACUUCAGGCCUGGCUGGGCGGUCUGCCUCACGGUACGUACUGUCCGGCUGGGUCUUACCUCUUGGUGAGCCGGCAUGCCCUUUACUGGGUGUGUCGGGGAACCAGGACUUUUACCUUGAGAAAAUUAGAGUGUUCAAAGCAGGCCUGUGCCCGAAUACAUUAGCAUGGAAUAAUAAAAUAGGACGUGCGGUUCUAUUUUGUUGGUUUCUAGAGUCGUCGUAAUGAUUAAUAGGGAUAGUUGGGGGCAUUAGUAUUCAGUUGCUAGAGGUGAAAUUCUUGGAUUUACGCAAGACAAACUAUUG
rnacentral:rRNA from 1 species